UACAGAGGGGGCAAGCGUUGUUCGGAAUUACUGGGCGUAAAGGGCGCGUAGGCGGCCUGCUAAGUCGAACGUGAAAUCCCCGGGCUCAACCCGGGAACUGCGUCCGAUACUGACAGGCUUGAAUCCGGGAGAGGGAUGUGGAAUUCCAGGUGUAGCGGUGAAAUGCGUAGAUAUCGGGAAGAACACCCGUGGCGAAGGCGGCUCUCUGGGACGGUACUGACGCUGAGUGAGCGAAAGCUAGGGGAGCAAACGGG
rnacentral:rRNA from 1 species